CCGCUGCACUGCCGCCGCAGUCUGACAGAAGAGCGAGCGAAGGUGUAUCAUGACGAGCAACAUGUCGUGUAGCCUACUGGGAAGAAGAUUUGGUGUUGAUGGAGGAGGCAACAUCUUCAAGGCAAAACCUUAGACCUGAUGCAACAUCAUCCAGUGUCAAAAUCACCCUUUAGGAGGCACUUGAAGACCAGUGCCCAAUAUGCACAGGAACAUUUCCAGUGUCAGAAGUAGACCUGCCAUGCCAGCUUUUGUGGAGACAGGCUCUCCAAGGAAGGUGAUUUUCAGGGGAUUGACUGGAAUUCCUGUUUUUUUAUGUUUCCACAACUUCAGACGUGUUAUCUCGUGACAGACUUCAGAUGUCUUUGUGGUGUUUAUCUGUGCUGCUGCAUGACGAAUCAAAUCCUCCUCACUGUAAAAAUAAAUAAAUAAAAUCAUAUACAUGUAUAUAAAAACAAUAAAGCUAAAUUUUCAGCAUCAUUACUCCAGUCUUAAGUGUCACAAUAUAACAAUAUGCUUUUUUUUUUUUUUUUUUUGAUCAACAAACAUUAUUAUUGAUGUUGAAAACAGUUGUGUACAAUUUUUUUCAGGAUUCUUUGAUGAAUAGAAAGUUCAAACGAGCAUCAUUUAUCUGAAAUA
ensembl:lncRNA